UUGCCAAUCGUCUAGUUUGGUAGGAUACCCCCUUGGCAUGGGGGAGGUCGAGGGUUCAAAUCCCUUCCGGUCCA
rnacentral:tRNA from 1 species